AAAACCUGUAUCCUAAGUUCUUUAUCAACCGUCUUAUAGAGGAGGAGAUUUUAGAUAAUGAUAUGAAGGAUACGAUUAUGGCAGCAGAAACCAAAAAAGAGCAAAUGGAAAGGUUCCUUGAUCUACUUCCCACUCGUGGACCCACUGCCUUCGAUGCAUUCAUGAGCUCCUUGAAGAAGGACUAUGGGUUUGUUAUCAAUGAAAUCAACGCUAAAUUGGCUGACCUCGAACAGGGACAAGCUCAGCCUGGUAACCCAGUGCAGGCAAGUGGAAAUGACUAAGGAAUAGAUGUAUAGGAAAACGGAACAAAGAGAACGCAGCCGAAGGAAUAUCUGCGGGAUUUAAGUUCCAUGGAACGAACAGUUAUACCAAUCUUUUGCUUAUCAUAAACUUUCAAAAUAUUUUGCCUGAUUUUAGAAUACAUAUUUGUUUUGUUUUACCGCUUCUUGCCAUUAGCUCUUCACUGUGUGCUUGAUUGUCAACAAUGAUUAUGAAGAAUCAUCCUUGUAAUAGAAUACACUUCUUAGUUACAAAUAAACUUUUCGUACUG